GCCCGGGUGGUCUAGUGGUAUGAUUCUCGCUUAGGGAUGGCAUUCGCCUACAAACCCAAGCAUAUCUGCGAGAGGUCCCGCGUUCGAUCCGCGGCUCGGGCC
rnacentral:tRNA from 1 species